GGGUAAUUGGCGCAGUCGGUUAGCGCGCGGGUCUCAUAAUCCCGAGGUCGUGAGUUCGAGCCUCACAUUACCCAAAUU
rnacentral:tRNA from 1 species